rnacentral:lncRNA from 1 species
CUAGUCUCCCAUAGCUUAUCUGUUGAAACAACUGGACAUGGUUGCAAAAGGCUCGGCCCUGCGCUUAUAAACCUUGACUACCGCUUCAUUCCAAGUUCCAGAAGGUAACAAAUCCUCACGACACAGCUGCUUUAUGAGCUUACUUUACAGUUCCUCGAGGGUCUCCAAAGCCAUCAAGGCUUCCGCUCCUGACUCCCACCUGGGGUGCACAUCCUCCAUGCCUUUCUUCUGGACCCCAACCUUACCCUUGAACUCUCCCCUUCACUCAACCCUGCUCCCUUGGAUCUACCACCUCUUCAGCCACAGCCUCCCAUCACCUCUGCUCUGAGAUCCUGGGUCUCUCCAUAAAUCCAUUCUCACGAAUCUCAUUUACCUCUCCCCACAGACCGUGGACUGGCACAUGUGGUAGUUCCAACAACAUCUGCACACACGUGCAGCUGGAUAUGCCGUUAUCCAAGGACACCCCACUCCCCCACCACAAGCCCCCCAUCUCUCCACAGGCAGAACUGACAGCUCUUACAAGAGCCCCCGUCCUGGCCAAUGAUAAACAGGUUAACAUCUAUACUGACUCCGAGUAUGCCUACAACAUUAUCUACUCCAAUCUGGAGACCCAGAUUCCUAACACAAAGAAGAUCAGCUAUUACCAAUGCCACCCAUAUACAGAAACUCCUAGAGGUGGCAUUGCUACCCACCACCACAGUCUCUGCAGGGGACGCCAAAAGGAUUGACAGUAUGUCUCCCUGGCUGAUAAAACAGUGGAUAAACUGGCCAGGGAAGCUGCUCUCACCCACCAGGACCUCAAGGGACAGAAACUCAACGCUCACACCCUAUAAUGUUCACACAUACAUUAACCCUCAAGCCCCUCCCCCCACCCCCCAUGCCUGAGGUUCUUACACACACUUCCCAUUCUGCCCAGCUAAUCAGACUCUCACUUUCCUCAUAAUACCCAGUCAGGCUGAGACCAGAAGAUAAAGGUUUUCUUCUGCAGCUCUUCCAGACUGAGACAUCUACUUGCAUAUUAACAUCAGCUCACCACCUUCCCUGUUCACCAAUGAGAGGGCUUUUGCUGGUCGCAGACUGACAAUACAUAGGCUGUAGGGAGAGAAGAGGGAGUGGAAUGGAAAGAAGUGAA